GACGAACGCUGGCGGCGUGCUUAACACAUGCAAGUCGAACGGAAAGGCCCCUUUGGGGGUACUCGAGUGGCGAACGGGUGAGUAACACGUGAGUAGCCUGCCCUUGACUUCGGGAUAACUUCAGGAAACUGGGGCUAAUACCGGAUAGGAAUCCUUGCUGCAUGGUGGGGGUUGGAAAGCUUCGGCGGUUUUGGAUGGACUCGCGGCUUAUCAGCUUGUUGGUGGGGUAGUGGCUUACCAAGGCUUUGACGGGUAGCCGGCCUGAGAGGGCGACCGGCCACAUUGGGACUGAGAUACGGCCCAGACUCCUACGGGAGGCAGCAGUGGGGAAUAUUGCACAAUGGGCGGAAGCCUGAUGCAGCAACGCCGCGUGCGGGAUGACGGCCUUCGGGUUGUAAACCGCUUUCAGCAGGGGCGAAGCUUGUGGUGACGGUACCUGCAGAAGAAGCACCGGCUAACUACGUG
rnacentral:rRNA from 1 species